UUUACUAAGAUGAUGCACAAGAAAGGUCAGGAUAGCU
rnacentral:tRNA from 1 species